CUGCGUCUAACUAUUCAAGAAGCAACCAAUUCUCUUGCUGUUGCUUACAAGGAUGCACCAUCAAAUGUUUUGAAGAAUUUGGAGUCACUUCUGCUGAAAAGUUAUAAAGUGG